GAUGAACGCUGGCGGCGUGCCUAAUACAUGCAAGUCGAGCGAACGGACGAGAAGCUUGCUUCUCUGAUGUUAGCGGCGGACGGGUGAGUAACACGUGGAUAACCUACCUAUAAGACUGAGAUAACUUCGGGAAACCGGAGCUAAUACCGGAUAAUAUUUUGAACCGCAUGGUUCAAAAGUGAAAGACGGUCUUGCUGUCACUUAUAGAUGGAUCCGCGCUGCAUUAGCUAGUUGGUAAGGUAACGGCUUACCAAGGCAACGAUGCAUAGCCGACCUGAGAGGGUGGUCGGCCACCCUGGAACUGGGACACGGUCCAGACUCCUACGGGAGGCAGCAGUAGGGAAUCUUACGCAAUGGGCGAAAGCCUGACGGAGCAACGCCGCGUGAGUGAUGAAGGUCUUCGGAUCGUAAAACUCUGUUAUUAGGGAAGAACAUAUGUGUAAGUAACCGUGCACAUCUUGACGGUACCUAAUCAGAAAGCCACGGCUAACUACGUG
rnacentral:rRNA from 1 species